CCUACGGGUGGCAGCAGUAGGGAAUAUUGCUCAAUGGGGGAAACCCUGAAGCAGCAACGCCGCGUGGAGGAUGAAGGUUUUAGGAUUGUAAACUCCUUUUGUUAGAGAAGAUUAUGACGGUAUCUAACGAAUAAACACCGGCUAACUCCGUGCCAGCAGCCGCGGUAAUACGGAGGGUGCAAGCGUUACUCGGAAUCACGGGGCGUAAAGAGUGCGUAGGGGGGUUAAUAAGUCAGAUGUGAAAUCCUGUAGCUAAACUACAGAACUGCUUUGGAAACUGUUCCUCUGGAGGGUGGGAGAGGUGGGUGAAAUGCUGGGUGUAGGGGUAAAGCCGGAGAGAUCAAGAGGAAUACUCAGUGCGAAGGCGACCUGAUGGAACAUUACCGACGCUGAUGCACGAAAGCGUGGGGAGCAAACAGGAAUAGAUACCCCGGUAGUC
rnacentral:rRNA from 1 species